rnacentral:rRNA from 1 species
GACUGCCAGUGAUAAACUGGAGGAAGGUGGGGAUGACGUCAAGUCAUCAUGGCCCUUACGACCAGGGCUACACACGUGCUACAAUGGCGCAUACAAAGAGAAGCGACCUCGCGAGAGCAAGCGGACCUCAUAAAGUGCGUCGUAGUCCGGAUUGGAGUCUGCAACUCGACUCCAUGAAGUCGGAAUCGCUAGUAAUCGUGGAUCAGAAUGCCACGGUGAAUACGUUCCCGGGCCUUGUACACACCGCCCGUCACACCAUGGGAGUGGGUUGCAAAAGAAGUAGGUAGCUUAACCUUCGGGAGGGCGCUUACCACUUUGUGAUUCAUGACUGGGGUGAAGUCGUAACAAGGUAACCGUAGGGGAACCUGCGGUUGGAUCACCUCCUUA